rnacentral:lncRNA from 1 species
AGCAAGAUUUUAGUGCUUCACUAAUCUAAUUGUACAACCAUAUAAUUCCUCAAAAUUACCACACCCUUCAAUUUCUAAAUAACUUCUCAUUGUAUCUAACAAUUAAGAUGGAAAAGUUUUGGUACAAAUCCCAAACUUAUAGAAAGAAAAAUAAAAGCAAGGUUAACAGUCAAAGUAGUUUUAUAUGGCAAAAAAGUACUAUGCAUUCCAUUAGUUAAAAUCCCAAUUUGUUUUACAAGAGCUUCCUCAUAUUUAACACACUGAUUCCGCCUAUCGCCGUCAACAAACUAGUCACACGGGUAAUUUUCAGGUCUGCUAUUUCACUUCUUCAAAGAAAAUAUAUGCAAGUACAAUGCCUACAUUAUGAUUAGUUAAGCGUCCUAGUUUUUAUCUUGAUUCUCAGUUUGGGAACCGAUACAUUUUCCGAAGGCUCAGCCUUGGUUUCAACCUUCGUGACCACGACUUUAGAUCCACUAGGUUCAUUCUGUUUUAAUUGCACGGCUGCCAUCUUGACAUU